CCUACGGGAGGCAGCAGUGGGGAAUAUUGCACAAUGGGGGAAACCCUGAUGCAGCGACGCCGCGUGAGUGAAGAAGUCUUUCGGUAUGUAAAGCUCUAUCAGCAGGGAAGAAAAUGACGGUACCUGACUAAGACGCCCCGGCUAACUACGUGCCAGCAGCCGCGGUACUACGUAGGGGGCAAGCGUUAUCCGGAUUUACUGGGUGUAAAGGGAGCGUAGACGGCGCGGCAAGUCUGAAGUGAAAGGCAGGGGCUUAACCCCUGAACUGCUUUGGAAACUGCCAUGCUAGAGUGCGGGAGAGGUAAGUGGAAUGCCUAGUGUAGCGGUGAAAUGCGUAGAUAUUAGGAGGAACACCAGUGGCGAAGGCGGCGUACUGGACAGUAACUGACGUUGAGGCUCGAAAGCGUGGGGAGCAAACAGGAUUAGAUACCCGUGUAGUC
rnacentral:rRNA from 1 species